CCUACGGGUGACAGCAGUGGGGAAUAUUGGGCAAUGGGGGCAACCCUGACCCAGCAACGCCGCGUGAAUGAAGAAGGCCCUCGGGUUGUAAACUUCUUUUGUCAGGGACGAAACAAAUGACGGUACCUGACGAAUAAGCCACGGCUAACUACGUGCCAGCAGCCGCGGUAAUACGUAGGUGGCAAGCGUUAUCCGGAUUUACUGGGUGUAAAGGGCGUGUAGGCGGGUGAGCAAGUCAGAUGUGAAAUUCCAGGGCUCAACCCUGGAACUGCAUUUGAAACUGUUUUUCUUGAGUGAUGGAGGGGGAGGUAGAAUUCCGUGUGUAGCGGUGAAAUGCGUAGAGAUACGGAGGAACACCAGAGGCGAAGGCGGCCUGCUGGACAUUAACUGACGCUGAGGCGCGAAAGCGUGGGGAGCAAACAGGAUUAGAUACCCGAGUAGUC
rnacentral:rRNA from 1 species